rnacentral:rRNA from 1 species
GAUGAACGCUGGCGGCGUGCCUAACACAUGCAAGUCGAACGAAGCAAUUAAAUGAAGUUUUCGGAUGGAAUUUAAUUGACUGAGUGGCGGACGGGUGAGUAACGCGUGGAUAACCUGCCUCACACUGGGGGAUAACAGUUAGAAAUGACUGCUAAUACCGCAUAAGCGCACGCUACCGCAUGGUAGUGUGUGAAAAACUCCGGUGGUGUGAGAUGGAUCCGCGUCUGAUUAGCCAGUUGGCGGGGUAACGGCCCACCAAAGCGACGAUCAGUAGCCGACCUGAGAGGGUGACCGGCCACAUUGGGACUGAGACACGGCCCAAA